GAUGAACGCUGGCGGCGUGCCUAAUACAUGCAAGUCGAGCGAACGGACGAGAAGCUUGCUUCUCUGAUGUUAGCGGCGGACGGGUGAGUAACACGUGGAUAACCUACCUAUAAGACUGGGAUAACUUCGGGAAACCGGAGCUAAUACCGGAUAAUAUUUUGAACCGCAUGGUUCAAAAGUGAAAGACGGUCUUGCUGUCACUUAUAGAUGGAUCCGCGCUGCAUUAGCUAGUUGGUAAGGUAACGGCUUACCAAGGCAACGAUGCAUGGCCGACCUGAGAGGGUGAUCGGCCACACUGGAACUGAGACACGGUCCAGACUCCUACGGGAGGCAGCAGUAGGGAAUCUUACGCAAUGGGCGAAAGCCUGACGGAGCAACGCCGCGUGAGUGAUGAAGGUCUUCGGAUCGUAAAACUCUGUUAUUAGGGAAGAACAUAUGUGUAAGUAACUGUGCACAUCUUGACGGUACCUAAUCAGAAAGCCACGGCUAACUACGUG
rnacentral:rRNA from 1 species